rnacentral:rRNA from 1 species
UACGCCUACGGGGGGCAGCAGUGAGGAAUAUUGGUCAAUGGGCUUACGCCUGAACCAGCCAAGUCGCGCGAGGGAAGACGGUCCUAUGGAUUGUAAACCUCUUUUGUCGGGGAGCAAAGAGAUCACGUGUGGUCAAAAGCGAGAGUACCCGAAGAAAAAGCAUCGGCUAACUCCGUGCCAGCAGCCGCGGUAAUACGGAGGAUGCGAGCGUUAUCCGGAUUUAUUGGGUUUAAAGGGUGCGUAGGCGGGACGGUAAGUCAGCGGUAAAAAUGCGGAGCUCAACUCCG